rnacentral:miRNA from 1 species
AAAAGAAAAAGAAGUGCUAAUCC